rnacentral:piRNA from 1 species
UGCACUCAUUACCUUCAUCAUGCCUA